UUAUUGAAUUGUUGAUUUAUUGUAUUAAUUUUGUGAAAUUUUAUUUGGGGUUUCUUGGUUGAAAUUUUUUUUAUAAUUCCUGAUUCUUGAAAGGAGAUUUGUGUUGAGAAUGAAUACUGCUAAUAUCAGACAAUGUUUUCCUCAUUUUAUUAAUUUUAGAACUCUUAAUUGAUUUAUCACCCUUCAUCGAUAACAACUUCCGCAAAUUAGAUUAAAGAUACUUGAAAUUAUAGUUUAGAAAAAUGAAAAUAAAGGGGUUUGUGCUGCCUAUUGCUUGUUGUUUGUGCUGCUGCUUGUUGUUCUGCCUGCUGCUUUUUCUCUUUGAUGCUUGCUGCUAUCCUCUGCUUGUUUGUGCUGCUGCUUGUUGUAUGUUGUUGGUGUUCUGCCUGCUGUUUGCUGCCUUCAGCUUGUGAUUUGUGUUGCUGCUUGUUGUUCUUGGUGUUCUGCGUGUUGCCUUUUCUCUUUGAUGCUUGCUGCUAUCCUCUGCUUGCCUUUUGUGGGUUCUGCUCCAUGCUGCUGGUUGUGCUUUCUGCCUGCUGCUUUUCUUGCUGUGCUGCUUUAUAUAGUUUGUGUGCUUGUUGUUGGUUCUCAAGGGCUGUUGUUGUUGCUGUUUUCUUUGCUUCCUGUGGUGUAUAGAUUGCUUGCUACCUUUACUAGCUAGCUGCUGUUUCUUUCUUUGUUUUUUUGGUGUUGUUUCUUUGUUGGUUGUUUACACUACUACAAAAUGCUAGUAUUCUCGACGUUGUAUCUUCGACGCUAGGGAAGACCGUCACAGGUAAAUUAAGAGUUCUGUGUUUUAUCGACGCUUUUAAGCGUCCUUUGACUUUCUCGUCCACAUUCCACGUCGAGAAACAGAAAAAUAAGCACUUGCCCUGCACGUGAUAAUUCCACGUGUUAGGGUUAUUGAUUUUCAAUCUUAUUUUCAGCCGCCACCACUAAACUCUCAUCUUCUUUCCCCACUACUCUCUCUCACUAGUCACUAUUCAACUUCCCAUUCUUUGCUUCCAAAUUCAAGAUAUACUUACAAAAAUCAAUGAAUUUUUCUUUCCUCACAAGAUCUGUAAUUUUCAAGGUAUUUAUAGUAGGUGCAAUUUGUUUUUCACAUCUUGUAUUCAAUUCUAAUAAUUGAAGUCGAUCGAAAAUUCAUUUUUGUUUGUCUUCAAUUUUCUGUAGUUUACUCUUAACUUCACUUUUUUUUUUAUUUGUUUUCUAGUAUGAUUAUUUAAUUUUUUUUGUUUUAAUUUUGCUAUUUUUGAGGUUUUCUCUAAUCUGUGUUUAACAAGGUUUCACCGAUUCGAUUCAGUUUACAAUGUCCAGAAAUAAAUACACGUUUAUUGUUCGAAUUGAACAUUUAUGUCAAUGGUUUGGAUAACUAAUUUCUUUGUUACAAAUAUUGUUGUGGCCUUAGACAGCUUGUAGCCUCCACAACAGUUUUAGAUUUUGGGCAAUUGAGAUGGAUUUGAGGCUAGAACACUAGCUAUUGGUGAAGCCAUUAAAUUAGGAGCAGCUAUAGACUAUCUAUCUAGAAUCGGCAUGCAAAUGAUUCACGAUUAUGAGGAUUCUGAAUUGUUUUAUGAGUGCGUGAGAGCUUUGAAAGCCUUUGCUUCAUUUCAUUAUAAAGAAACUAUUGCUAGAAAGGUGGGUCUAGGCUCACAUGCUCCUAGUGGUGUCAAGGCAUAUCCUUCAAGGGCAGUUGCUUCCACUCUUCCUUUCUUCCGCCAUUCAUCAUGAACUUUGCUUUACGCCCUCUUGCAAGUAUAUUAAGGAGCAGCUUAAAUUAAAGAUUGAUUGAAGAUUUUUUUGAGAAGAAAUGAGCAGAUCUGUUCCACUACAACUAGUCACGAAUGAAGUAUAAGUUGGAAUUAUACCUGUUGUAGAGAUAUUGUACAUAUACUAUAAUAUACCUAUAUGAAAUAAAAAAAAGUUUGGCCCAA